rnacentral:rRNA from 1 species
AUUGAACGCUGGCGGCAUGCUUUACACAUGCAAGUCGGACGAGUGGCGAACGGGUGAGUAACGCAUCGGAACCUAGCGAGUGGAGGGGGAUAACUAUCCGAAAGGACAGCUAAUACCGCAUACUAUCCGAGCGGCCGAUGUCGGAUUAGCUGGUUGGCGGGGUAAAGGCUCACCAAGGCGACGAUCACUAGCGGGUCUGAGAGGAUGAUCAGCCACACUGGGACUGAGACACGGCCCAGACUCCUACGGGAGGCAGCAGUGGGGAAUAUUGGACAAUGGGCGCAAGCCUGAUCCAGCCAUGCCGCGUGUCUGAAGAAGGCCUUCGGGUUGUAAAGGACUUUUGUCAGGGAGGCGGUACCUGAAGAAUAAGCACCGGCUAACUACGUGCCAGCAGCCGCGGUAAUUC